AAGAUGAAAAAUCGUAGCAAUUCUUAGCUAUCCUAAUUCAAGUGAAAACGGCCGGUACUUCCUACUCUGCCGCCAUCUUGUUUUGAAGAUAAACAUUGGAUAAUAAUUUAUGCUUAUUUAUUACACCCAGAAAUCCUGGUGUUCUUUGUUUGCAUGUGACGUCACGCUCAUUAGCAUAACCACCCGGCGGCCAUGUCAGAGGCCGUAUAUCCACUUGAUAACAAAGAUUUUAGAAUGAUUAAAUAAUCGAGGAAAAUGUCAGGAAUGAGUGGUUAGUCAAGGGGAUCCAAACUUACAACUAGACACCAAAACAGAUUAGUUUUCUGCGAUCAUUUCAUCAACGGAUGCUGUUAUACCUCCAAUAUUAGAGACGAAGAGAAAAAUACGAAUAUGUCCUAUGAGACUAGACACUAUGGCCUUAAGUGAACAACAAAAUUUGUUGUUUUAGAAAAACACAAAUUGUUUCUAAGUUGUACCCUAGACACAUUGCAAAAACUUAGACUUAUAAAAGCUUCUUUCAAGGUUUCUUUCACCCAUUGCUUACUCUUGAUCAGAUUGUAUGAAGGUAUCCCACGCCCCUUUCAUAAUAUCCUGAACCAGAUGGUUGGGAUGCUUACAACACUGUUCCUUUGUUCUCAUUGUUUUUAUGAGGAGAUGGCUGGUGCAGAACAAAUAUUUCAGCCUUUUAUUGCUCUACUAAAUACCAUUUGUACCUCCAGAUGUCAUUUGCACAAACUAUUUGUGAAUGAAUACCAUCACAAUAUAUAGAAAAACAAAAACAAAAAAUGGAAUGCACUUAAUUUUCUGAAAAAACUGAUUCUUAUCACAUCUACAAUUGUUUUGCACCUUUUGAUCUGGUUUGCACAAACUAUUUUGUAAUUUAAAGUAAAAAAAAUGUAGGAAAAUGUGAUGUAGCUCAAUGCUCCAAUUAAUAAUUCCUAUGUGGUUAUAAUACAUGCCCAUAGACUCUCAGAGAAAUGCUUAUUAAGUACUUCAUCUCCCUCACUUUACUAAUAAAAGCCAACAGUGGUAUUUGACACA